AGCAGCCGCGGUAAUUCCAGCUCCAAUAGCGUAUAUUAAAGUUGUUGCAGUUAAAAAGCUCGUAGUUGAAUUUCGGGAUCAAUACGUCGGUCGUGCUUCGGUACGUACUGGCGUCAUUGAUUUCUCCCUUCUGACGAACCAUGAUGUCAUUAACUUGGUGUCAUGGGAAAUCAGGACUGUUACUUUAGAAAAAUUAGAGUGUUUAAAGCAGGCUCACGCUUGAAUACAUUAGCAUGGAAUAAUGAAAUAGGACGUUCGAACCUAUUUUGUUGGUUUCUAGGAUCAACGUAAUGAUUAAUAGGGAUAGUUGGGGGCAUUAGUAUUCAAUUGUCAGAGGUGAAAUUC
rnacentral:rRNA from 1 species